rnacentral:rRNA from 1 species
AUGCUCGAGACCAUCUGCCUCCUCCUCGCCUACAAGCUCAAGUACCCGGGCGCCUUCUUCCUCCGCGGCAACCACGAGUGCGCCGCCGUCAACAAGCAGUACGGCUUCUACUCCCAGUGCGCGUCCCGCGGCCCGCGCAAGAAGAUCCUGUGCGUGCACGGUGGGCUCUCGCCGGAGCUGGAGAGCCCGGACCAUAUCCGCGAGAUCAAGCGCCCGCUGGCCGACGUCCCCGACUCCGGGCUCGUGUGCGACCUGCUGUGGUCGGACCCCGCCGCGGACGGCGACAACUGGGGGUGGGGGGACCCGCGCAGGUGCACGUCCUUCACCUUCGGCGCCGACGUGGUGGAGGAGUUCUGCGAGAGGCACGGGCUGGCCAUGGUGUGCAGGGCGCACGAGAUGAAGGAGGGCGGGUAUGACCAAGAGUUCGCCGGCGGGAAGCUUGUGACCGUGUUCUCCGCGCCCAACUACUGCGGCAAGUGCGGCAACGACGGCGCCAUCAUGACGGUCGCCGGUGACCUCGCCUGCUCCUUCCGCGUCUUCCACCCUGAUACUGCCGCUACUCCUCCUCCGGCUCCUAUUUAUCUUCUUUAG